rnacentral:rRNA from 1 species
UACGGAAGGCAGCAGUGGGGAAUAUUGCACAAUGGGCGCAAGCCUGAUGCAGCCAUGCCGCGUGUAUGAAGAAGGCCUUCGGGUUGUAAAGUACUUUCAGUCGUGAGGAAGGUGUUAAGGUUAAUAACCUUAGCAAUUGACGUUAGCGACAGAAGAAGCACCGGCUAACUCCGUGCCAGCAGCCGCGGUAAUACGGAGGGUGUGAGCGUUAAUCGGAAUUACUGGGCGUAAAGGGCACGCAGGCGGUUAAUUAAGUUGGAUGUGAAAUCCCCGGGCUUAACCUGGGAAUGGCAUUCAAGACUGGUUAGCUAGAGUCUUGUAGAGGGGGUAGAAUUCCAUGUGUAGCGGUGAAAUGCGUAGAGAUGUGGAGGAAUACCGGUGGCGAAGGCGGCCCCUGGACAAAGACUGACGCUCAUGUGCGAAGCGUGGGGAGCAAACAGGGAUUAGAUACC